rnacentral:rRNA from 1 species
UGCAAGUCGAACGAACUCUUCGGAGUUAGUGGCGGACGGGUGAGUAACACGUGGGAACGUGCCUUUAGGUUCGGAAUAACUCAGGGAAACUUGUGCUAAUACCGAAUGUGCCCUUCGGGGGAAAGAUUUAUCGCCUUUAGAGCGGCCCGCGUCUGAUUAGCUAGUUGGUGAGGUAAAGGCUCACCAAGGCGACGAUCAGUAGCUGGUCUGAGAGGAUGAUCAGCCACAUUGGGACUGAGACACGGCCCAAACUCCUACGGGAGGCAGCAGUGGGGAAUCUUGCGCAAUGGGCGAAAGCCUGACGCAGCCAUGCCGCGUGAAUGAUGAAGGUCUUAGGAUUGUAAAAUUCUUUCACCGGGGACGAUAAUGACGGUACCCGGAGAAGAAGCCCCGGCUAACUUCGUGCCAGCAGCCGCGGUAAUACGAAGGGGGCUAGCGUUGCUCGGAAUUACUGGGCGUAAAGGGAGCGUAGGCGGACAUUUAAGUCAGGGGUGAAAUCCCGGGGCUCAACCUCGGAAUUGCCUUUGAUACUGGGUGUCUUGAGUAUGAGAGAGGUGUGUGGAACUCCGAGUGUAGAGGUGAAAUUCGUAGAUAUUCGGAAGAACACCAGUGGCGAAGGCGACACACUGGCUCAUUACUGACGCUGAGGCUCGAAAGCGUGGGGAGCAAACAGGAUUAGAUACCCUGGUAGUCCACGCCGUAAACGAUGAUUGCUAGUUGUCGGGAUGCAUGCAUUUCGGUGACGCAGCUAACGCAU